rnacentral:rRNA from 1 species
GUAAUUUGUAGAGGAUGCUUCGGGCAAGGCCGUGGUCUAAUUCGCUUGGAACAGCGAGUCACAGAGGGUGAGAAUCCCGUCUAGGAUCGUACGCCGCGUCCAUGUGAAGCUCCUUCGACGAGUCGAGUUGUUUGGGAAUGCAGCUCUAAGCGGGUGGUAAAUUUCAUCUAAAGCUAAAUAUUGGCCAGAGACCGAUAGCGCACAAGUAGAGUGAUCGAAAGAUGAAAAGCACUUUGAAAAGAGAGUUAAACAGUAUGUGAAAUUGUUGAAAGGGAAGCGCUUGCAAUCAGACUUGUGUCUGACGGUUCCCCUGGCCCUCGUGGCCGGGCUACUCCGUCAUGUCCAGGCCAACAUCGGUUUGGGUGGUCGGUCAAAGACCCCGAGAAUGUAUCUACCUUCGGGUCGACUUAUAGCCCGGGGUGGAAUGCGGCCCACCCGGACCGAGGAACGCGCUUCGGCUCGGAUGUUGGCGUAAUGGUUGCAAGCGGCCCGUCUUGAAACACGGACCAAGGAGUCUAACAUCUAUGCGAGUGUCUGGGCGUCAAACCCCUACGCGUAAUGAAAGUGAACGGAGGUAAGAACCCCGCAAGGGGCGCAUUAUCGACCGAUCCUGAUGUCUUCGGAUGGAUUUGAGUAAGAGCAUAGCUGUUGGGACCCGAAAGAUGGUGAACUAUGCCUGAAUAGGGUGAAGCC